rnacentral:rRNA from 1 species
UACAGAGGGUGCAAGCGUUGUUCGGAAUUACUGGGCGUAAAGAGCUCGUAGGUGGUUUGUCGCGUUGUUCGUGAAAACCUGGGGCUUAACUCUGGGCGUGCGGUCGAUACGGGCAUCACUAGAGUUCGGCAGGGGAGACUGGAAUUCCUGGUGUAGCGGUGAAAUGCGCAGAUAUCAGGAGGAACACCGGUGGCGAAGGCGGGUCUCUGGGCCGAUACUGACGCUGAGGAGCGAAAGCUAGGGGAGCAAACGGG